rnacentral:rRNA from 1 species
AUUGAACGCUGGCGGCAUGCCUUACACAUGCAAGUCGAGCGGCAGCGGACCUUCGGGUGCCGGCGAGUGGCGAACGGGUGAGUAAUAUAUCGGAACGUACCUUUCAGUGGGGGAUAACGUAGCGAAAGUUACGCUAAUACCGCAUAUUCUGUGAGCAGGAAAGCAGGGGAUCGCAAGACCUUGCGCUGAUUGAGCGGCCGAUAUCAGAUUAGCUAGUUGGUGAGGUAAAGGCUCACCAAGGCGACGAUCUGUAGCGGGUCUGAGAGGAUGAUCCGCCACACUGGAACUGAGACACGGUCCAGACUCCUACGGGAGGCAGCAGUGGGGAAUUUUGGACAAUGGGCGCAAGCCUGAUCCAGCCAUGCCGCGUGAGUGAAGAAGGCC